GCCCCCUCUCCCCAGUUCAACCUAGAGAGAACUUAGUUGUAUGAGGGGGUCACCUCGGAAAGUCAGGCCCCGAGGAGGGACUGCGGCUGAGCCUGGUGACCCAAGCAUGGACGAAGGAAGGGGCUGCCCUUCCACCUCCAUCUCGGCCACGCACGCCCUCCCUGAUUCACUGACACCGGGUGACCGCUGCCCUCCAGUCGCUAGGACAAGGGGAGUCGGACGGGCGCCUGUGGACCGCAGCUGGGGUAGCAGUUGGCUGUGGGUUGCUAGGCAAAAAUAAACAUCAGAGACACCUCCCAUUUCCUUACAACUUCAAGCCUUUCCCCAGCAUCGCCACUGGGAGAGACACACCGCACACCUUCCUUUCAGCUCUCGGCUGCAAGGGUAGGGCACCUCUGCUUCCUCUCAUCCUCCGAGGUUUACAAGGAUAACGACACGUGAAGUAAUUUUCUCAGCAGAAUGCGCGGCAGCAGUGAGCCGCAGCAGGCAUGAGCUCUCAAGGGAAGACAAACACUCAAAACAGCUUCAGGAAGUCCCUGAAAUUGGCCAGAUUCACUAGGCCCCUUCCUGCCAGAGCAAGUAAUAAAAGCCGAGAGUGCCUCAGACCGAAGAGAGCCAAGCUGUAAAGAAGAUUCUGAGACCAGACCAGGCACCUGGAAAAAGCUAAAACCAGCCACACUACCUGGAAGAGGUUUAGACCGACUGAGGGACCUAGGAAAGACUCCCCAACCUAUGGAGCUGCCUGCAGGCUGUGCACUGUGCUCCAGGUUCCCAGCUUUGUGGGCGGGUACCCGUGGUGGGGUGGGCUU